AACAACCCCGAUCAUGUUAGGAGAACUCAAUAUGAAACAUAACACCGGUACACAAGUAACUAGGGCGACAUAGGUAGAACAAAACACUGAUCUAGAAGGCCAAGCCUUCUACCUUUUACCUAGUAUAUAGGUGCAUUCAAUUAAAUAGCAAUAAUCUUGUGAUAUAUGAAGGAACCAUAUUAUCACAUGGAAAGAAACUUGCACCUGCAACUAUCAACUCUAUAAGAAGGGUUGAGUAAGCCGUAACAUAGCCAAACAUGUUUGCUGGGAUGUGGAGGGGUUAGAGUCUUUCCAUGGCAAUGUUGGGAGGCUUGACAUUUAAGUGGUAGGUAACAAGACAUAACGAUAGAAGCGAUAAAACUAGCAUAUCAAUGAUAGUACUACUAUCCAGGGAAAUGGUCAUCUUGCUUGUGAUCCCGCUUGAAAGAAGAACAAAUCCAUGAAGUAGACGAACCAACGUAGCCGAACGAAUCCUCACGCUCCGAAGCGCUUUUAGAACUCUAUCAAAAAGAAGCAAUCCGAAAACAAACAAUCAACACCGGAUAACACC
rnacentral:lncRNA from 1 species